AACCAGCUCUUCAAGUGGUCGGGAUGAUUAUUGGGCUUAAAGUGUCCGUAGCCGGUUUAGUAAGUUCCUGGUAAAAUCAGGUAGCUUAACUAUCUGUAUGCUAGGAAUACUACUAUACUAGAGGGCGGGAGAGGUCUGAGGUACUACAGGGGUAGGGGUGAAAUCUUAUAAUCCUUGUAGGACCACCAGUGGCGAAGGCGUCAGACUGGAACGUGCCUGACGGUGAGGGACGAAAGCCAGGGGAGCGAACCGGAUUAGAUACCCGGGUAGUCCUGGCCGUAAACGAUGUAUACUAGGUGAUGGCACGGCCAUGAGCCGUGUCAGUGCCGUAGGGAAACCGUUAAGUGUGCCGCCUGGGAAGUACGGUCGCAAGGCUAAAACUUAAAGGAAUUGGCGGGGAGCACCACAAGGGGUGAAGCCUGCGGUUU
rnacentral:rRNA from 1 species